AGCGAACGCUGGCGGCGUGCUUAACACAUGCAAGUCGAACGUGAAUGGGAGCAAUCCCUAGUAAAGUGGCGUACGGGUGAGUAACACGUAGGUAAUCUACCCCAAAGUCUGGAAUAACCUGCCGAAAGGCGGGCUAAUACGGGAUAGAGCGAUGGAAUCCGUAAUUGGGUUUUUCGGGAAAGGAAGGAAGCAAUUCCCUUCGCUUUGGGAUGAGCCUACGUCUCAUUAGCUAGUUGGUGGGGUAAUGGCCCACCAAGGCUUUGAUGGGUAGCUGGUC
rnacentral:rRNA from 1 species